ensembl:snRNA U6 U6 spliceosomal RNA
GUGCUCAUUUCGGCAGCACAUGUACUAAAAUUGGAACGAUACAGAGAAGAUUAGCAUGGCCCCUGAGCAAGGAAAUAAAGAUAUUUUA